GUUUGAUCCUGGCUCAGGUGAACGCUGGCGGCGUGCCUAAUACAUGCAAGUCGAGCGAAUGGAUUAAGAGCUUGCUCUUAUGAAGUUAGCGGCGGACGGGUGAGUAACACGUGGGUAACCUGCCCAUAAGACUGGGAUAACUCCGGGAAACCGGGGCUAAUACCGGAUAACAUUUUGAACCGCAUGGUUCGAAAUUGAAAGGCGGCUUCGGCUGUCACUUAUGGAUGGACCCGCGUCGCAUUAGCUAGUUGGUGAGGUAACGGCUCACCAAGGCAACGAUGCGUAGCCGACCUGAGAGGGUGAUCGGCCACACUGGGACUGAGACACGGCCCAGACUCCUACGGGAGGCAGCAGUAGGGAAUCUUCCGCAAUGGACGAAAGUCUGACGGAGCAACGCCGCGUGAGUGAUGAAGGCUUUCGGGUCGUAAAACUCUGUUGUUAGGGAAGAACAAGUGCUAGUUGAAUAAGCUGGCACCUUGACGGUACCUAACCAGAAAGCCACGGCUAACUACGUGCCAGCAGCCGCGG
rnacentral:rRNA from 1 species